rnacentral:rRNA from 1 species
AUUGAACGCUGGCGGAAUGCUUUACACAUGCAAGUCGAGCGGCAGCGCGGGGCAACCUGGCGGCGAGCGGCGAACGGGUGAGUAAUGCAUCGGAACAUGUCCAUUCGUGGGGGAUAGCCCGGCGAAAGCCGGAUUAAUACCGCAUACGCCCUGAGGGGGAAAGUGGGGGACCGCAAGGCCUCACGCGAUUGGGUUGGCCGAUGUCCGAUUAGCUAGUUGGCGGGGUAAAGCCCACCAAGGCGAUGAUCGGUAGCUGGUCUGAGAGGAUGAUCAGCCACACUGGGACUGAGACACGGCCCAGACUCC